rnacentral:lncRNA from 1 species
GGUCUUGGGAUAAUAAACCCAGAAAAGACGUUCCACAAUCCAUAAAAUAAAGUUGAAACAAUGGCAGCGAUGUGGUGGUUUGGUGUCAAAGCCACAGCCAUCAUGCCAUAGAAGGUGAAGAACAAUAAUGUGAAGUACAUGAAGAAUAUAUACCAAAAAAACUUGGCGGCUGUCCAUUCAAAUCCAAUCAUAGCAUAGACUAUAGCACCAUACACUACUGACUGAACUAAUAUAUAAGGAAUCUCAAUCAUAACCUGCAGGAAAGAAAAUUAAAAGUCAGUAAUGAAACACGGUUAUUUAACAAUUCAAAUAUAUGAAAUGUGUCAAACAAUUACUUGUGCUAAUGCCCAUGGUAUGCCUGCAUACAUGCCGGCAGCUUUUUCCCUGUAAAAGACUGUCCUUUCAACUGAUACUAUUGGCUGCACUGACGAACAAUAUUGAACACCAAGGAAGAGAACUGCAGUAAACAUGGAACCCAUUGCAUUGAAAAGAUCUUGGUUCCUUUUCCUGAAAAUUAAAAAGUCAAAAUAAAGAUCAAAACGAAGACGAAACCACAAGAGACUUUGAAUAACAUUCAAGUGCAAAACUGUUCCAGACAACUAGUUAUAACUCACGUUCUACCACCCAGGUCCCAAAACAACGAGCCAAACAACAAUGCUAUGAAGGCCGUGAAGAAAAAUCUAACAGCAGUGUAUGGUGGGUUUCGCCAGUAUGACCAGUGUUGUUUCCAUAAGCAAGCCACAAAUUGGAUCCAAGAUGACUGCGAAAAUUGAGUAGGAAAAUAGAGGUCCUUUGAACCAGGAGGAGGCCUGCUUAAAUCUUCAAUGAGUGCUUUGUUUCUCCUGAUACAACAUGGCAUACAUCAGCAUUAAUUUAUAGCUAAACAAAUGCACCGGCAAACUGUUGAAUGGAUUUUGGUUAUGUAAACUAGUGGUACAUGAUAACAUACCUGUAUAAAUCUGAGCGCUUGUAAUGUUCGGUAAAAUCAAUCCCCAAAGCCAAUUCUUGCGAAGCAGCUGAAACUUCCAACAUCCAAGUUGCUGGAUUGUAACCAUCUUUAAUCUUUUGUACUCCGGGAAUUGCCUAGAAAAAACAAAUGUACGUUCAUCAGCUAUUUCCGUAUUAUAAAAUAAACCAGUCACUUGCAAUGUUGUUUCAAGUUAGAUUUCAAUUGUAAUAUGAGAAUAUCCAUUAGGUCAUACUUCGAAAUAGCUGAUAAGAUGGCAAGAAUGACGACCCAAUGGCCCCACAUAAAUUUCUUGUCCCCCUCGCUUCAUUAGGAAUAGCUGCAACAUAUUUUUGAACAAUAUUAAUCAAUGAGAGGAAAAGAAAAGACAAAGGGAAGAAAAAAAACGAAAAAGCUUAAAGCUCGUUUGAUCUAGAAUUAACAUUUCUUACCUCAUCAAAAGCUUCAAAUAUGUCAAUGCUUGGUUGAUGAAUCGUGCACACUACCGUCCUUCCAGUGUCCACUGUGUUUCUAACAGUUCUCAUAACAAUUGCAGCGGCUCUUGCAUCUAGUCCUGAGGUUGGCUCAUCCAUAAAUAUGAUGGAUGGGUUAGCCACAAGCUCAACCGCAAUGGUAAGCCUCUUACGCUGCUCUGUUGAAAGACCACUUACACCAGGCAAACCAACCAGUGAUUGUCUCAACGGAUUCAGCUCCACAAGCUCCAUUACUUCGUCAAUAAACAUCUGUAAAUCAAGGGUAAAACUCUAAAUCAGUAUGAAUUAUGUCCAAUAAUGUAUUUAGGGAAUCUAACUGUUUCCCUGCCCGUUGACUCAGUUUAACUAGUUUUAGCCCUUAAUGACCUAACACUCUAGGUGACUUUAGUGCCUACCUUUCUGGUUUUGGAAUCAACUUCAGGUGAUAAACGGAGCCAGGCCGAAAAGAGCAAGGACUCAUAUAUGGUAACAAAAGGAGAGUGGAUGUCAUUUUGCUCACAGUAUCCUGAAAUGCGAGCAAAUGUUUCUUGCUUCUUCGGGUAACCAGAUAUUGUUAUGUUACCAGUAAUAUAUCCACCAGUUUUCCUGCCAGCCAAGACAUCCAUCAAAGUGGUUUUACCAGCGCCACUGACACCCAUUAAAGCUGUAAGAACACCUGGCCGGAAAGCACCGCUCACGCCAUUCAAAAGCACUAAUUUAUCUUCAAGAACACCUUGAACUUUCAUUUCCUGUAAAGUUAAACAAAUCAAUUGGUCAUCAUGCUCGACUACAUAGUAUUGAAUCAAGAAAUCAACAAAACCUCUAAACAUCUUAAAUGGUUUUCAAAUUAAUGUUACCUCUGGCAUGUCAACAGAGUAUACAACCUCAUCAAAGGUAAGGGAAUGAGGUUCAAAUGGAAGAACCAUUCCUUUUUUCUUCGGACGACUGGCCUCCGCUUCUGCCAGUGAUAAGGAUUGGGAAGAGGACUGUUGUCCCCUAAUGUCAUCUGUACUCCCUGCAUUUUAAACAUAAUUUAUUAGCUUCAGAAGGCAUUUACAAAAGUAUCUCAUUUUUUUCCUCAAAUAUAUCAAAAUACUUUUAUCACCUGAGCGAGUGUUGUGGUUAGAACUACCUCCAAGGGUUGAUAACUGAACAUUUCCUCCAAUUCUAUCAUCUUGCUCAUUACUUUCAAUUUCCUCCGUUAUGACAGCCCGAGGCUUCUCAAAUGCUGUAAAAAAUUUUUGGAGGAAAUUAGAACAGAAACUCACUGCUACAGAAGUAAUUUAAGAAAGUGAAGAAGGUAGGAGCAACCCACGAUCAAGAAAAGUAAGAGCCAAUGUGUAAGCGAAGUUCAAAAGCAGUACGAAGCCAAACAAAGCCCCCAAUCCUAGCCAAUACCAAUAUUCAUGUGCGAAGAACCCACGGGACUUCAAAACUUGCACCCCAAGCGUUUCACUUGAGUCUUGAGUAAACUGUGAUAUGAAAAAGUUACCAGCAUCAGUAAUGUUACUAACAGCUAAAUACACAAUCAAGGAAAAAGAUCAAGAAUUACCUUUUUCCAACUAUGCCCCAAAAAUUCAUUUGCCACUAUUGCAUUCUGUGCGUAUGUCAAAGGAGAACACCAGUAAGCCCAUUUCCACCAUUUUUUUAUGUCCUCUGCAUUAUGAAAAAAUGAAAUGGAAGUAUUAAAGAUAAAUUUUUCUAAGGAAGCUAAUUUAAUCUGGUUUACUUGCAUAUUUUCUGUACCUCGCGAAAGGAUAAAUCCACCCAAUGACAAAAGUACAAGUAAUGCAAAUGAACCAAAUGUGUUAGCAACAACCAUGUUUCUGCCGGUUACUGCAAUGAAUCGGAACAAUGCAGAAGCCAUCUGGUUAACACCCAAGAGCAGCGCGUACUGCUUAAAAAACCUGCAACAUGAAAACCAUCACAUAAACUACCUUGAUAAAGAGAUCAUGGAACUAAAACUUUACUGGUUACUAAAAAAUUUGGUUCAUUUUCUCUGUGAUUACCUUCCAGCAUUGGAAUCAUACCCAACAACAUAAUAUGAUAGGAAAACCCAAACAGCAACCUCCAGGAACGAGACAGGGAUCUUUAGAAUCCAUGAGGGAAUAGCAUAUGCCCACGGAGGAAAGAACCGGAAGUCUCUUUGCUUGUAGAAGACAGGAAGCUUUGCUAUGGUCAUAGAAAUCUCCGAAAAUCCAUUGAAAUUGACCAUUGUGAUGGCGAAGAACGUGGCACCAGCAAAAAUUCCACCAUCAGUUACUGUAUCUUUGUGCAUUUUUGUUCUCAAGAAGAGUGUCAUGUAGACCACUGCAACAAAUGCAAUCUAAAGCCAGGGGGAAAAACCAAUCAAUAAAUAGUUAUCACAUGAAGCAACAAUUAAAACAAUUCAAAACUAUGUUGGUACUCACUUGAAUGAGUUUGAAGAUGUAGACAAAUGAGUUCCUCUUCAUCAGCAAAAGUUCUCUUGAGAUGUUAGCUUUCAACAACUCUCUCUUGCCAACACCAUAUGUUUCUGUGGUCAAAGCAGCUCGAUGGCUCUUGCUCUUAUCAAAUGGAGUCCGAAGCUCAUCAGAAAUUUUCUGUCCCACAUGGAAUGAUUGGAAUGCCUCAGCAAAUUCCUGGACUGUAACAAACCUGUAAGGCUUCUCUUUAUGUGCCCAAUACUGCCUUUGAUCUUUCCUUGAUGUUACCUGGAACACAUUAUUUGUAAAGAUUGAAUAGAAAUAGUAAUGUGUGAGGCUCGUUAUAGUUUUAGAAUGUUAUAAGCUUCUGUAUUAUCUAUAAAUAUUUAGAAACUGAAACAUCAAAUAUAGAGCUCUAUCACCGCAUACUUCUUGCAAGAAGUCAGCCACGCCUUUCCUUUUGGGGCAUCUAAAGCCCAUGGAUGCAAAAAACUCUAGUACCAGUUCGCGAGGACCCUGGUAUACAAUCUGGCCAUCGGAUAGAAGGAUAAUGUCAUCAAAUAGAUCAUAAGUUUCUGGUGCUGGCUGUAGGAGAGAUAUCACAGCAGUUCCACUAUUGAUGUGAAUAUUUUGCCUGAGACAAUUAACAAUUUGGAAAGUUGUCGAGCUGUCCAAACCAGUAGAAAUCUCAUCCAUAAAUAGUGCCAAUGCUGGUCCAACCAUCAUUUCACCUAUAAUUUAAUUUACGAUUUAUCAUAUGUUUGAAUGAAAAGAGAUAACUGUUUUGUAUCUGACCACAAUCAAAAUGAAUUUAUGGAGUUUGGUAUUUACCAGUCGUAACACGCUUCUUCUGUCCUCCUGAUAUACCUCUUAUCAUUUCAUCACCUACCAUGGUGUCUGCACAGACAUCCAGUCCCAGAACCUAUAUGUUCAUAAGGAGAAGCAUUCAAACACGUGACAUUAUUUACUUGUUCUUGAUCAUAAUUCGCAAUUUUAGAGUGAUUCAUAAAUAUGUUACCUUAAGAUAAUAAUCAGUGAUCACAUUGGCUUCUUGGCCUUCAGUUGCUAUAGCCUGAGACGAGAAUUGACAGAGAAAUACAAGAAACUCAAUCACCAAGAGUUCAAAUCAAUCUCCAUAAGGUUGUUUCCGAUCUAAAUCUAUUUUCUCGUGAGGUGAAAGGUAAAAUGCCAAGCUUAAAAUAUAUGUAAUUCAACAAAAUGAUAUAAAGAAUUGAAUCUCAAAGUUCAUGUACUAGGAUUUUGAGACAUAGGAGCACUUGAGUGAAGCCAGGCUUAAAACUGAAACUCAUAAUUCAUCAGAUUUUACAUCCAAUGAUUUUUUUUUUUUCUCUUUUCUGGAAUCAAAUUGGCUAAAUGCUAAACAUGUUUUAAAGUUUAAACAAACUUCAGCUUCUCUCACCUUCAUGUAGACAUCAAUAUCCGGAUCAGGCUUAAUACCUGCUGCCUUCUCUCUUCUUGCCAACUCAGUUAACAUUUCUGCACUUCCCAAAAGGCAGAACCUUUAAUCUGAGUUCUUUACUUGAAGGAAGAAAUUAAAAAAAAAAAAAAAUAUAUAUAUAUAUAUAUAUAUAUACACCUACCAUAACGGGUUCCAACCCCCUGGCAUCUAGCAGAGAAGGCCAAAGUUUCUCUCACAGUCAUUUCACCUAUAUGAUUAUCGUGUUGACUGAUAUAAGCAGCUGUUCUCUGAGGCACAAAUUCAUCCGUAUCGUGACCGUUGUAUGUUACCCUACCAGAAACCUACAGAGGGAUGUUUUGAUUCUCAAAUUAGGGAGAAAAUCAAAGAUCGAAAAGCAAAGGUAAAAGCCAAACCCCUCCUAAAUAAUUAGAGCUUUUAACUAUAUAAUCACCUUCAGAGUAGGAUCAAGCUUCCCGGCCAAAGCCAACAAUAGUGUGGUCUUUCCAGAACUUGGGGGACCCAGAAGCAAUGUCAAUCUGCGAGAAAAGAGAUGGGCUCAAUUUGUGAUCACUACCAACAUAUUCAUAGAAAAACAAGUAAAUUAAGAAACAAUAGGUAUUUAAUUUUCACCUUCCCGGCUUUAUGACUCCACUGACAUCCUUCAGGAUUGUCAAGUGUCUCUUUUUACUUGGAAUAAUGCGGAGAUAGUUCAAGAGACCCUGCAAACAAAUACAGAUUAUUUGAAUUUGAGCCGAGAAAUUAACAAAAGAUGAUUAAAAAAAUAAUAAUUUUUGCAUUUGAAGAUUGGUACCUCAAAGAUGUUGGUAUAGAAUUUAAUGAACGAUGGCAAGGCAUUACUUGCUAAAAAUGCUUCUGCUUCAACAUUCAAAUGUUCAUAUCGUACUUCGACUUUUGGAAGGUCUAUUCCAACUCUGCCAAAAAUCAAAGAAAAAAAUCAGAAUCAUGACCAAAAUACAACACGCUCUUGAAAAAAAAAAAAUGGUGGACACAACAUACACAUGAAAAAAAAGAACUCUGACAAACACACACACACUCUCUCGAAAAAGGUCUGCUCUGACACCGAGUUUUUAUCCAAAAGAUUAGUCCAUAAAACUGUAGAUUGCUCCUUUACAAUCCAAUAUGAGAGAAAUCAAUUCAAACUUAAUAUUUGUUUAAAACAAAGGCAAUUCAAGAUUAGCUUACGGAUUAUGUAACUUUUCUAUUUGUUUAAGGUGGAAACAGAACAUUACUGACAGCAUGAAAUAGUUAUAUGAAUAUCAGUUACAGCUGCUGAAGAACUGAAAGUUUUUUACCUAUCAAUACGGUUCUUGAGCUUCAACAAGAACCUCUCGUUAUCAACAUCAGUAACUUUAACCAAUUUAUCAAUCAACCUCUGCCUUUCUUGCAGCCCAAGGUUGUAAACAUCAACUUCAUUAGCUUCACCUCGUGAGGUAGUUAAUAUCCCCUUCCUCAAACGGUUAUAGGUAGGCAAUUUCUCGAGAGCAGCCCAUUUUAGAGCCUCCUCAUCGUCUUCUUCCCUUGAAGACCUCGAAAAUGCACCGAUGGAAUUUGUGUUCCAUCUAGAAGCGCUCCGACGCAAGCUAGUACUAGCCAUGAAAAUAUCGUGGGUGCCCUCCAUGGCAACUCAAGAUGCUCAGAGCUGCUGAAACCAACCAAAACCGAGGAGUGCUUUUUUCUCUCUAUUGUUGAACUCAACAAAGAGAAGUUCAAGCACAGAGAAAUGGGUACUAAUUAAUUUGACAGAGCAAUUGCUCCUACUAUGACUUGAUCCAUUAGUGACCCACGUAACCAUUUAUUUAUAUCUUGCAUACAACAGCAUAAAUUGACUGGUAUAUGGCACCGGCGGCUCAAAUAAUCAUUUCCCUUAUCUACCCUCCGUGAACAAGUCGUCGUAGCAAUAUAAAUAAAGACUUCUUUUCUACUAUAAAUAUCAAUAUUCCAGGGGUAGGCUCCGGAUCUUUCAUUAGGCCGAGCUAAAUUUUAAAUUUAGUGUAUAAGUUUAUGUAAAUUGUUGGUGCAUGUCAAGGAAUAAAACAAAAAAAAAUGUAUUAAAUAAUAAAUAUCUAACUCUAAUUUCAAUGAUAAAUUACUCUUUUCAUAUUGAGUUUCAUACGUUCUCUUGUUUAGGAAGAUAUUUGAAAACUUUAUUCUUAACUAAAAGAAAAAAAAUUCAUGAAAUUUAAUUUUCUUAAGCUAACGGGCUCCAGCCACCUAAUGGGUCUAUGUUCAUUGCUAUCUGAUGCCGGGCAGUUGAGGAAAGUGAUGGAUUCUUGACCGUAGACUUUUGGGAGCAGAAUAAAGAGUUUUAAAAAAAAAUUUCUUUAGAAAUUUCCGAGCAGCUGGUACCCAGUCACAUUGUUUACCUAUUUAACUUGUUAUGAAUUGACGGGGAAACGGGCGACUGAUUUUAUUAAUUGGUGUGAAAAAAUUUCCUUGCCAUGCUGCAAGAAAAGUAAUCAAGACUUGAUACAACAUCACAAGGUUACUCAACAGACUUUGACUAAUGACUAGGACUGGUUCAAUUCUAGAAUGGGGAUAGAAUUGGAAUACGAAACUCGUGCCUUGACUAACUAUUGUUACAUUGAUAAAUGCACCGUUUAAAUACGAAACGAUAAGAUUUAAUAAAUAACAACCACACAUAAUCUUGUUAUGAUAGAAUUAGUUUAUGAUAAAUUUUUUAUUAUUGAUAACAACGUUAUCGAUGAGUAGAUGAAAUGUAUAAUUGAUGCACAUCAUACCCUUUUUUUUUUUUUUCUCUAACACAAGAGAUUUUAUUAUCUCAAAUAGAUGAAAUGUACAAAAUAUGAAAAUUAAUUUAAUUUUAUAUUAUAUAUAAUUAAUGUUUUAUUAUUUUAUUGUAAUAUAAUAUUUAUUUAGCAUACUAUCAAUUAUUUGAUUAUGUAGAAAAAAUUUACUAAUUUACUAAUAAUAAUAAAGUGUUAGUUUAUCAAUUCAUAAAAUCAUUUUUGCUCAUUUGAACAAGAAUUUUGUAUUUUUGGUUGAGUUUUUGUCCUUAAAUAAAAAGAAUAAAUUUAAUUGCACACUUAAAUAAACUGACUUUUGUUAUUUCACCCCAAUAUUUUAAAUAGCCAUUAGCACACAUUCCUAAUUGACAAGGAUAUGACCAAUUAAAUAAUAAUUGUAUCAAAUUUACCACUCAUAUAUAUAUAUAUAUAUAUAUCUGAAUGGCUAAGUGUUGGAAAAUAGGACCAUGGGCAUGAGCCCAUGACUAAUUUUUUUAUUUUUUUAGUUUUUAGUUUGGUAGUGAAAUGGAUUUCUUAUUCUGGCAAAUUAUGCAUUCUCUUCUCUACAUAUAUUACAAUAAAAAAAAAAAACUUAUAUUGUCCAAAUUGACAAGUGUGCGAUGUCGGAGUAUUGUGUUCAUGUUUGGCAUCUUCAAAUCGAAAGGUGUUUCUAAAAUAGAUUAUGACUUCUAGAAGUAUCACAUAACCUGAAAAUUUUUAGGUGUAGGACUAAUGUGUGAAAAAAUAAAAGUCUUUAGUUUUUUUUAAUUUUUUAACAAAUAAAUGGAUUUCACUGUAAUUGACUUAGAAAAAGACAAAAAAGUGGGGUACGAAACCCGUGUGGCAACGUAGUUUUGGCCUUUUAGAAUAAGUAACACUAAUGUCACGUACUUGGACAUUACCCACAAGACAACUGACUGAGACAAAUGGCUGGACACAAACAACAAUCAACGCUUGACGUGGAGAAAGUCAAAGCACGCCAAUUUUGAAAUGAAGAUUACUUUAACCCUUCAAUUUAAUUUUCCAAUUAAGACCCCUCAAACAUGGGAGGUGGGGACCACAAUCACCGGAUCCGGAUCCGGAUCGUAUAGCGAAUUAGUGACGUACUCUGUUACUGCCAUUUCCCCGCAUUAAUUACUUUUAAAAAAAAAUAAAAAUAAAACGAAAAAUUUAAUUAUUAAAUUAAUUGUAGAGGCAACCAAGAAUUUAAUUAUUUAAUUAUUAAAAAGGCAUUUUCAAGACUGUUUUCAAGUAAAAAGAUCCAAUACUAAAUUAAUUAGCUCAUGCCUUUCCUGAUUUUCGUUGGUCGACAUUAUAAAAUUAUAAAAAAAUAAAAAAAUUAUUUAACGUUAAACAUAAGUUAAAAGGACAUAAUCUUAGACAAAAAUUCGUGUUAAUAUAUUUAAAUUAAAAAAAACACACACACACAUACACACAAAAUCUUAGACAAAAGAGAUGGGAAUUAUAAUAUACCAAGAGCAGAAGCAUUCAUUUUCCGUCUCAGUGAACGUGAGCUUCUCUUCACCGUCAGCAAGUCCGUAUGGUCAUUCCCUCCAUCACGACCGUCCAUCUUGCUCAAUUAUUAAAAAAAAAAUGAACUAAAAAAUGCAUCAAAUCUUUUGUGAAGCUUCUUCAUUUUAAUUAAUUAAUUAAUUAAGGGAAAAAAAUCUCGUCGUCCCGGCACAGCAUAAGGCUGAGCUUCUCCGCCGCCGCCGUAUUGAGAAAAAUAGCGGAUAAUUUUGAUUUAAAAGGCUUCUUGUUAGUCAUCACAUUACCCAAUUCCCUCACUAUCCUUCGUUAUUCUGAUGGAUUUUUGUGUUUCGGAAGUGAAUUUCAGUUCUAAUUUUUUUUUUCCAUUUAUUUUUAAGUUUUGGAAGCAUUACAUAAACUUUUUUUUUAAAUAUUUUACUUAAACGAAAAAAGAAAAAAAAAAAGAUCGGUUCGGUGGACAAAGCCUCUUACUCCUGAUUCAAACGCAAGACCAAUUAAACCACUCGGCUCAGCCCGAGUGGCCAGGGCUGCUGCCCUCUAACUUGGAGGGCAGCAGUUCGAACCCCCACAAAAGUAUUGUGGGGGUAUUUCCUUUCUCAAUUAAUUUAAGUGAAGGUAAUCUUCUUCCUUACCCAUGAGUGAGGAGUAGACAUCCCUCAAAUAUUUGUGAGGGUUAAAAUAUGGGCAGAGCUCCAUUAGCAUUGAUGUAAGUUGGUCCCAGUAAUUGUCUGAUUUGUAAAUAUCAGUUAUAGUCUCAUGUAAUAUGAGUUGUAAUCUGAGCAAUAGUCUCAUGUAAUAAAAAAUAAAAAUAAACGCAAGACCAAUUAAAUUAAACUCCUUCGAAAGCUACUCGGAUGACCGGCCAAAUUAAAACUCUUGAAAGUUUCGAUAAAAUAUUAAUUUUAAUAGUUAAAAUUCUUUUUGAUGGGGAAAUAAUAUAUUAUAAUUUAAUACAUUAUUAUUUUAAAAUGUUGAUUUAUAAAAAUAAAAAGAUUUACCAUACCCUAAUGUCUCGGAAAAUAGUCAAGCAAACUAACACAUUUUUUAGUGAAGAAGAAUAUUUGGACCAUUUUUUUAUUGUAGUACCAUUUAAAUAGAGCAGCUAAAAUAGUUAGCUUUAAAAUUUUUUAAUAAAUAUAAAUAUAAUAUAAAUAAUUAAAUAUGAUUAGUAGACUAAUAAUAUUAAAAUAAUUUAAAAACAUAAAUAUUAUUAAAAAUGUAUAAUUUAUUAAGAUAAUAAUUUUGAUAGAUAAAAUAAUUUAAAAACAUAAAUAUUAUUUGUAUUUUAAAAUAUUUUUUUAUUUAUUAAAAUGUUUAAAACAAAUCUUUCGGUCAAAUAGAUUUCACAAUUAAUUCAAUAUAUGUUAAUAGUAUUGAAAUUAUUUUACAUGCUAUUCAAAAUAAUUAAAAUUUUUAUAUAUUUUUAAUAUUAUGUUUCUAUUUAUUUAAAAUUAAGUUUAAUACAAUAAAAUAUGUCUAAUAGGUGUAUUUUUUAAAAUGUAUAUAUUACUAUAUUUAUUUUAACAUUAUAUUUUUAUCUAUUACAAAAUAUUAGAGUUAAUUUUAUUCGAGUUUAUAAAACCAAAAGGUAUUUUAGUUAAAUAGAGGCCUUAAUAUUCCUUCUUAAAAAUUUAAGAUGUGUAUAAUUAUUUUUUCAAGGAUAUAAUUAUCAUUUGAACAUUUAUAAAUAGAAAAUGAGGAUAUCGCAAGUUGUAGCACCCAUUUGAUCGUUCAACGGAGGCGCAUGGUCAAUCAAAAGAAUGAAAAAUGCCAAUUCUAAAGUCAAGUGUUUUUAUUUUCUUUAUCUUCAAGUUUAAAGUCAACAUCAAAGAAAAAGGUAAAAAUGUUAAGACAAAUUUGAUGUCUCUUCGCUAUGAAGAAAAUUUUGACAGUGAAGCCAGAUAGAAAAAUAAUUAGAAUAACGUUUGAAUAUUGCACAAGAAAAUUUCAUGGGUUAGAAAGGAAACAAAAAGUAGGAGAAUGAAAAUGUGAUCAUGGUUAAUUUGAAAAUUAUGAGAGCUUUGUAAAAUGAGAUUUUAAUUUUUAAAUUUUGUUAAUGUGUCCAUAGAAUAAAUGGAUUAAAUCAAUUAUUUUUUUAUGUAGUUUAAAUAGUUUGACUUUUAAGAUUAUGAUUGAGAGAGUCGCGGAUAAUGUAAGAGCAUUUACAUUAUUUUCAUUUACCUUUUACCAAGUGUGUACGAAUACUAUCAUGAUUAAUUAAAAAACAUGUAUGAUAAAAAAGUUAAUAAAAAUAUGACAAUUUUAAAAGCAUGUGCAUUUUGCUAAAAUAAACCAAUACUUGUAUUACAUAUGUGUAUAUAUUUGAACACUAAAAUUUUAUCCACCCUCAUUUUGCACACCCCUUUAUGUUUUGAAUCAAACUUCUCAUGAUUACCUCACCCAAUUAAAAUUAUAUACAUAUAGGACAGUGAUCCAAUCUGGGAUCCGGGAAUCUAGCAGGGCCGUUCAAUCCAACGGCCGCUGGUGGCUUUUUUUUUUUCAAUUUGUGGGCUGCACAUGGUGGACCCCACCAUGUGCAGACACCAGUGGCCUUUGGAUUCCACCAUGUGCAGCUACUAGUGGCCUUUGGAUUGAAAUCCAAAAGCCACUAAUUUUUGUCCCGGAAACUGUUCCAAUCCGGGACUCCCGGAUUGGAACAGUUACCUAUAUAUAAUAAAACUAAAAUUUGGAAACUUGGAAAAAUCAAAAUGCAUGCAGUGACUAAUGAAUAAGGUUCAACUUACACAUUAAAUAAAUUAAGAGCAACGCCAAACAACUUGCACAACACGAUGACAGUAGGUCCCUGAAUUGAUAGAAACAGCAGCAAAACGAUGUUCUUUUCUUGUUCUUUCUCUCUAUUUUUUUAAUUCGGUAAGCCCCCUGUCCCCAUCUGUAUAAUGUUUAAUAUUUUCAAAAAUAAAAAAUCCAAUUUGAAAAAAAAUUCAAGAAAAUCUUAAAUUGUGUGUCUGGUAAACAACCGCAAAUAUAAAAUUCACGUUCAACAUUAGUAGGAAGGGAAGGGGAAAUAUAUAUAUAUAUAUAUAUUAGAUCCGCUCAAAAUGUCGAUGAUUUUAUUUUCUUUAUUUUCAUGUUUAAAGUCAAAAGAAAAGAAUGAGAAAAUGGAGGAGAAGAAAUUUGAUAUCUUAUUACUAUAUAAGCAUUUAUUUUUUAAUUCGUUUGAAAUAACUUUUCAAGUAAAAUUUAUUUUAAUAGAGCUUUUACAAAUAGGGUUGGACAAUUUCGGAUUCGGAUAAGAUAUUCAAUCAGAUUUCGGAUAAUUUAGAUUGAGAAAAAAUUUAUUCGAUCUCAAUCGAAACCUUAUAUUUAAUUCAGUUCGAUCCGAAUUAGCUCAAAUCAAAUUCGAAUGAGAUGAAUAUUUCGAAUAAGUUCAAAUUUAGAUCGGUUUGGAUUGAAAUUAGAUUUGGGACCUUUUAGACAAUUCUCACAAAAAAAUCAUGAAAUCUACAAUAGUAUAGGCGGUGACAUCAAUCAUUGUCAGUCUCUUCUUUUGGUUAUUGAUAAUCUCAUUGGAAGAGAGCUGGGCUGGAUUUUCCCAUUGUGUCUUGACUAUCUUCGACAUAGUGGGUCUGGGGGACGCCAUGGUGGCUGGACGUCGAUCCAGAUGUAGCGGGGUUCAUUUGGUUUAUACUGUUGGUGGCGUGGGUCGCUGUGUGCGUCACGUCAUGAGUGUGGUUUGUGGUCAUGGGUUGCGGCUACCUUGUAUCUUGGUGAUUUUGGAAUUAGGUUUUCAUUUUCUUAGUUUCUGCUUUUAUAUUUUGUUUUUUUUUCUUUUUUAAGUAGCAGUGCAAUCCAAUUUGGAUUAUUCGAAUUGACUCGAAUUCGAUCUAAUCCACAUCUAAUCCAAUUACAUACACAAAUUAUAUCCGAUCGUAUUUGAAACCAAAUAUGAAUCUGGUAUGAAUUUGUAUAGAUUAGAUUGGAUCUGUCCAAAUCCAAUCUGAUGUCCAACCUUGUUUAUAAAUAGAGAUUUUAAAAAAAUUAGUUAUAUUGAUUAUCAAUGGAAUUUUUUAUUAAAAAUUAUAAAAUUAUUUUGAAAGUAAGUUUCUUAUAGUUAUGUUAUGAAAAAAAAAUGAAAUAAAAUUGUGAGACAAGAAAAGGAUAUUUUAGACAAUUAAAAAAAAAAUCCAAUCUUUACUCUUAAAAUUGCAAAAUUUGAGCUUUUACUAAUAUAAGAUAAAAUAGUUUAUUUAACCUCCAAAAGCUAUACUCAAAAUACAAGCAAGCAACAUUAAAAAUUAACAAAAAGAAAACUUAUGGGAUUGACUAUUUGAAAGCUAUACCAACCAUGCACUUACUCCCAUCUAUAUAUCUAUAUAAAGUUGGGACUUGAGGAGGUGAUGUGGCAUCAUCAUUUCUCUUAUUUGUAUAUUCUCUAUUAUCUAAUAAAUAGAGAAUGUUUCUUUUAGAUUUGACUUUUUAUCUUCUCAUAAUUAAUUUGAUUGUUAUUAUACAAUAACAAUUAUGUAAAGAUUUUAAUGAGGCAUAUUCUUUGUAAUGAAUAUCAAAGGGGGAGUGUUAUGAAUUUAUUAAAAUAAAUGUAAAUGUUCAUAACAUAUAUCCCUUAGUCUCCCCACUAUCUCCCAUUAGCAACCUUUAACUUUCCUAUAACUCCCACUAUCUCACAAGAAAUUAUGAUCCAUAAUUUUUCAUUAAUUUCAUGGAGUGAUUAUGUAACUAUAAAAGGAGAGCUCAUCUUUUUGUUUUGUACACACACAAUUUGAAUGAAUAAAAUCACUCUAUAAUAUAUUCUCUCAUUUUAUUCUUUAUCUUGCGUUGCUCCUUUAUUUGUAUUGCUAACUAAUAGCUUUUUUUUUUAUUUUUUAUAAGGCUGCCUCAUCUUAAAAAAAAAAUCAAUUCUUAUUUUUUAUCAAUUUCAUCAAGUGUAAAGUAAGAAAAAAUGAUAAUACUAAAUUCUUUUUUCAAAGCCGCGUGAAACGCGGGUCUAUUUUCUAGUAAUUAUAAGAAAACUCAAACCCUCCAUCUUAUGGAUGAUACAAAUGCUUUCUAUAAUAAAAUAUACAUGUUUUCUUCAUUAACGGUACGUAUAGAUCUUUUAGAGAGUAAAUUUUAGUUUAUCCCAUUCCCUUCAAAUUAAAUCUUAACCUAUGGAAACUAUCAAUUCAAGUCUAAACUUAUUGAAAAUAUCAACGCUCCUAUUUAAAAGACUAGGAUAAAGAGGGGCGUCUUAAAGAUCUAUUUUUAUUUUAUUUUAUUUUUUGGUAUUCUUAAUAAUAAAUGGGAUUGUGUUAACAUUUCGGUAAAUUGAAAGUAAGUUAAUUUAUUUGGCUGCUGAUUUGAAAAUUCCCCAUCUUUUAAAUUCAUAAGGUGCUUUUGCAGACAACUAGGUUAAGUCUCACAUUUUAAAUGAAGGUGUGUUACAAAGUUGAACUUUCUGUGCCUUCACCUACCUUGCGUUUGGAAAUUCUCAUCCCAUUUUGUGUUAUUUGAAUUUUUCCUAACACAAAAAUUCAUCACCCUAAUCAUUGAACCACAGCCUUUUCUCACAACAAAGUUGAAGGAGAGGGAGAGAGAAACAAAAUGCAGAAACAGUUCUGCGCUUAAAUGUCAAACCGUUUUGUUUCACUUAUUUUGUUUUUUAAUCAAAGAGAUGAAUAAUUCAAAUACAGUAGGAAAAAAAAAAACUUUGUUUUUUUAAUCAAAGAAAUGAAUAGCUGAGAUAAUUCAGACACAGUUGGAUCAAAAAGCAAUAUUGUGAUUUUCCAAACUACAAAGUCCCAACUUCUUGCAGUAAAUUGGGGCUAAAGCCUAAAAGUAGUGACCUUUUGGUAUGCUUUAAUGACCCCAACACAUUUGCUUUGAAUGUUAUUAUUAUAUUCAUUUCUCCCCUUUUCCGCAUUUGUCUUUAUUUCAAAUAUUCAAUUAUGCAUAUUCUAGAAGUAUGAUAUAGCUAGCACCUAAAAAUUAACCACAAAAAGGAAGACAAAAAGAGAGAUAUGAUAAGAUGCAGAAAAGAAAAGCAUAAGCUGUGUCCCAUAUCAAAACUUAAACAAGUUCCAUCUUGUAUCUCAUGCAACAUGACUCAACUUUCAUAUGGAUUCACACUUGGGGGGACAUUAACAGUAUUAUUUCUUGCAUUGAAAUCAAAACCACUAUAAUAACAGCAAGAAAAAUGUCUUGGCAUAGGUGUGAGAAAAUAUACACAAGCUAUUUAGAGGGGAGAGAGAAAAACUAACUGGGGUUAGAAUUAAUUUUAUUACUUAUUUAUUGUAGCUCGAUACAAUCUUAGUUCUAAUUUAGUUAGUACCCUUAAUUAUAACUGCAAUAAGAAAAUCUAAUCUUAAUAGGAAAGAGAUUAAAAUAAACUACAAGAGUCCUCAUAUUAUUCCCCACUCCUUAAAACAGGCUUGCCCGCAAGCCUUUUACCAAGUCCUAAAUCACAAACUUGAUCUUCAAGAUGCUAUUAAAUUUCUAUCGCCUCUGGAAAUUAAGCUGCUUGAUUCCUAGGGCGAAGACAAAACCAAAGAGGGCUACAAAGCACGUAAGAACACCCGCAACUACUCCCAGCAAAUCAUGUUUGAAACCAAAAUAAUCUCUAAGAAAGUGCUUCACUGUUUCACCAUUUUCCAUUUGGUCCUCCACAUCCCCAAACUGUGAAGCAAUCAAUCCAUACAGGGUCCAAGCUAUAGGGUUUGCCCAAUAGUACCAUCUCCACCAUACAGGAAUCC